rnacentral:pre_miRNA from 1 species
UCUUAAGGCUGAACACAGAAAGUGGUUUCUUGAGAUAGAAUCUACUCCCAGUGAAGAUGCUGUGAA